rnacentral:rRNA from 1 species
ACGACACAUUACCCCUGGGAGCAGGUAUACUAGGCAUAAGCAAAAACGGAAACGUUUUUAGACGAGAAGCAUGACGUGUAAAAAGUCAAUAUUUCAUUUAAUAAUUAGGUGGCACAGAAUAGGGGGUUGCGACUGUUUAAUAAAAACUUAGGACUCUGCUAAAUGGUAACAUGAUGUAUAGGGUCUGACACCUGCCCGGUGCUGGAAGAUUAAUAGGAGAUGUUUACGCAUUGAAUGGAAGUCCCAGUAAACGGCGGCCGUAACUCUGACGGUCCUAAGGUAGCGAAAUUCCUUGUCGGGUAAGUUCCGACCUGCAUGAAUGGUGUAACGACAUCCCCGCUGUCUCCAAUAUAGACUCAGUGAAUUUGAAAUAUCCGUGAAGAUGCGGAUUCUUUAUAGUUAGACGGAAAGACCCCGUGAACCUUUACUACAUCUUUAUAUUGUUAUUUUAUUUAAUAUGUAUAGAAUAAGUGGAAAUCUUUGAAACUUUUACGCCAGUAAAUUGUGGAGAUAACAGUGAAAUACCACUCUUAUUAAAAUAAAUAACUAAUAUUUUUAAAAUAAACAGUGUAUGGUUGGUAGUUUGACUGGGGCGGUCUCCUCCUAAAGAGUAACGGAGGUGCACAAAGGUAAGUUCAAAUUGGAUUAUUAUAUCAAUUGUAGAAUGUAAUGGUAUAAGCUUGCUUGACUGUAAGAUAGACAUAUCAAACAGGGACGAAAGUCGGUCAUAGUGAUCCGAUAAUUCUUUGUGGAAAGAUUAUCGCUCAACGGAUAAAAGGUACUCUGGGGAUAACAGGCUGAUGAUUCCCAAGAGCUCUUAUCGACGGAGUCGUUUGGCACCUCGAUGUCGACUCAUCACAUCCUGGAGCUGAAGAAGGUUCCAAGGGUUCGGCUGUUCGCCGAUUAAAGUGGUACGUGAGUUGGGUUUAGAACGUCGUGAGACAGUUUGGUUCCUAUCUUCUAUAAAUAUUUUGAAAAAUACAAGAAUCUAACUCUAGUACGAGAGGACCGAGAAGGGUAAAUCUCUGGUGUAUCGGUUGUUGUAAAGCAUCGCCGAGUAGCUAAAUUUAUUUUGGAUAAUUACUGAAAGCAUCUAAGUAAGAAACCAUUCUUAAAAUUUUUCUUUGAAAACUGUAAAAGACGAUUACAUGAAUAGGUUUUAAGUGUAAAUAUUGUAAAAUAUGUAGCUUAAAAAUACUAAAAGUUUCAAUAAAUAAAAAUU